rnacentral:rRNA from 1 species
AGUGAACGCUGGCGGUAGGCCUAACACAUGCAAGUCGAACGGCAGCACAGUAAGAGCUUGCUCUUACGGGUGGCGAGUGGCGGACGGGUGAGGAAUACAUCGGAAUCUACUUUUUCGUGGGGGAUAACGUAGGGAAACUUACGCUAAUACCGCAUACGACCUACGGGUGAAAGCAGGGGGUCUUCGGACCUUGCGCGAUUGAAUGAGCCGAUGUAGGAUUAGCUAGUUGGCGGGGUAAAGGCCCACCAAGGCGACGAUCCGUAGCUGGUCUGAGAGGAUGAUCAGCCACACUGGAACUGAGACACGGUCCAGACUCCUACGGGAGGCAGCAGUGGGGAAUAUUGGACAAUGGGCGCAAGCCUGAUCCAGCCAUACCGCGUGGGUGAAGAAGGCCUUCGGGUUGUAAAGCCCUUUUGUUGGGAAAGAAAAGCAGCAGGUUAAUACCCCGCUGUUCUGACGGUACCCAAAGAAUAAGCACCGGCUAACUUCGUG